GGCCAGAUAGUUCAGUUGGUAGAGCACUUGACUGGAGAUUUAGAGGGCCCAGGUUUGAAUCCUGGUCUUGUCU